AGCAGCCGCGGUAAUACGUAGGGUGCGAGCGUUAUCCGGAAUUAUUGGGCGUAAAGAGCUCGUAGGCGGUUUGUCGCGUCUGUCGUGAAAGUCCGGGGCUUAACCCCGGAUCUGCGGUGGGUACGGGCAGACUAGAGUGCAGUAGGGGAGACUGGAAUUCCUGGUGUAGCGGUGGAAUGCGCAGAUAUCAGGAGGAACACCGAUGGCGAAGGCAGGUCUCUGGGCUGUAACUGACGCUGAGGAGCGAAAGCAUGGGGAGCGAACAGGAUUAGAUACCCUGGUAGUCCAUGCCGUAAACGUUGGGCACUAGGUGUGGGGACCAUUCCACGGUUUCCGCGCCGCAGCUAACGCAUUAAGUGCCCCGCCUGGGGAGUACGGCCGCAAGGCUAAAACUCAAAGGAAUUGACGGGGGCCCGCACAAGCGGCGGAGCAUGCGGAUUAAUUCGAUGCAACGCGAAGAACCUUACCAAGGCUUGACAUGUUCUCGAUCGCCGUAGAGAUACGGUUUCCCC
rnacentral:rRNA from 1 species